rnacentral:rRNA from 1 species
GACGAACGCUGGCGGCGUGCUUAACACAUGCAAGUCGAACGGAAAGGCCCUGCUUGUAGGGUACUCGAGUGGCGAACGGGUGAGUAACACGUGGGUGAUCUGCCCUGCACUUCGGGAUAAGCCUGGGAAACUGGGUCUAAUACCGGAUAGGAGCCAUUUUUAGUGUGAUGGUUGGAAAGUUUUUUCGGUGUAGGAUGAGCUCGCGGCCUAUCAGCUUGUUGGUGGGGUAAUGGCCUACCAAGGCGGCGACGGGUAGCCGGCCUGAGAGGGUGGACGGCCACAUUGGGACUGAGAUACGGCCCAGACUCCUACGGGAGGCAGCAGUGGGGAAUAUUGCACAAUGGGCGCAAGCCUGAUGCAGCGACGCCGCGUGGGGGAUGACGGCCUUCGGGUUGUAAACUCCUUUCGCUAGGGACGAAGCUUUUUGUGACGGUACCUAGAUAAGAAGCACCGGCUAACUACGUG